rnacentral:rRNA from 1 species
CCUACGGGAGGCAGCAGUGAGGAAUAUUGGUCAAUGGACGAGAGUCUGAACCAGCAAAGUAGCGUGAAGGAUGACUGCCCUCUGGGUUGUAAACUUCUUUUAUAUGGGAGUGAAACGUUCCACGUGUGGUGUUUUGUAUGUACCAUAUGAAUAAGGAUCGGCUAACUCCGUGCCAGCAGCCGCGGUAAUACGGAGGAUCCGAGCGUUAUCCGGAUUUAUUGGGUGUAAAGGGAGCGUAGGUGGAUGGUUAAGUCAGUUGUGAAAGUUGGCGGCUCAACCGUAAAAUUGCAGUUGAAACUGGCAGUCUUGAGUACAGUAGAGGUGGGCGGAAUUCGUGGUGUAGCGGUGAAAUGCUUAGAUAUUACGAAGAACUCCGAUUGCGAAGGCAGCUCACUGGACUGCAACUGACAGUGAGGCUCGAAAGUGUGGGUAGCAAACAGGAUUAGAUACCCCAGUAGUC